rnacentral:tRNA from 1 species
GCCUGGGUGGCUCAGUCGGUUGAGCGUCUGACUUUGGCUCAGGUCAUGAUCUCACAGCUCGUGAGUUCGAGCUCAGCGUCAGGCU